UACGAAGGGGGCUAGCGUUGCUCGGAAUCACUGGGCGUAAAGGGCGCGUAGGCGGCCAUUCAAGUCGGAGGUGAAAGCCCAGGGCUCAACCCUGGAAUUGCCUUCGAUACUGUUUGGCUAGAGACCGGAAGAGGUAAGUGGAACUGCGAGUGUAGAGGUGAAAUUCGUAGAUAUUCGCAAGAACACCAGUGGCGAAGGCGGCUCACUGGCCCGGUACUGACGCUGAGGAGCGAAAGCGUGGGGAGCGAACAGG
rnacentral:rRNA from 1 species